rnacentral:rRNA from 1 species
UACGGAGGGUGCAAGCGUUAUCCGGAUUCACUGGGUUUAAAGGGUGCGUAGGCGGACAGGUAAGUCAGUGGUGAAAUCCCCGAGCUCAACUUGGGAACUGCCGUUGAUACUAUCUGUCUUGAAUACCGUGGAGGUGAGCGGAAUAUGUCAUGUGGCGGUGAAAUGCUUAGAUAUGACAUAGAACACCGAUUGCGAAGGCAGCUCACUACGCGGUCAUUGACGCUGAGGCACGAAAGCGUGGGGAGCAAACAGG